rnacentral:rRNA from 1 species
AUUGAACGCUGGCGGCAGGCCUAACACAUGCAAGUCGAGCGGUAGAGAGAAGCUUGCUUCUCUUGAGAGCGGCGGACGGGUGAGUAAUGCCUAGGAAUCUGCCUGGUAGUGGGGGAUAACGUUCGGAAACGGACGCUAAUACCGCAUACGUCCUACGGGAGAAAGCAGGGGACCUUCGGGCCUUGCGCUAUCAGAUGAGCCUAGGUCGGAUUAGCUAGUUGGUGAGGUAAUGGCUCACCAAGGCGACGAUCCGUAACUGGUCUGAGAGGAUGAUCAGUCACACUGGAACUGAGACACGGUCCAGACUCCUACGGGAGGCAGCAGUGGGGAAUAUUGGACAAUGGGCGAAAGCCUGAUCCAGCCAUGCCGCGUGUGUGAAGAAGGUCUUCGGAUUGUAAAGCACUUUAAGUUGGGAGGAAGGGCAGUAAAUUAAUACUUUGCUGUUUUGACGUUACCGACAGAAUAAGCACCGGCUAACUCUGUGCCAGCAGCCGCGGUAAUACAGAGGGUGCAAGCGUUAAUCGGAAUUACUGGGCGUAAAGCGCGCGUAGGUGGUUUGUUAAGUUGGAUGUGAAAUCCCCGGGCUCAACCUGGGAACUGCAUUCAAAACUGACUGACUAGAGUAUGGUAGAGGGUGGUGGAAUUUCCUGUGUAGCGGUGAAAUGCGUAGAUAUAGGAAGGAACACCAGUGGCGAAGGCGACCACCUGGACUAAUACUGACACUGAGGUGCGAAAGCGUGGGGAGCAAGCAGGAUUAGAUACCCUGGUAGUCCAUGCCGUAAACGAUGUCAACUAGCCGUUGGAAGCCUUGAGCUUUUAGUGGCGCAGCUAACGCAUUAAGUUGACCGCCUGGGGAGUACGGCCGCAAGGUUAAAACUCAAAUGAAUUGACGGGGGCCCGCACAAGCGGUGGAGCAUGUGGUUUAAUUCGAAGCAACGCGAAGAACCUUACCAGGCCUUGACAUCCAAUGAACUUUCUAGAGAUAGAUUGGUGCCUUCGGGAACAUUGAGACAGGUGCUGCAUGGCUGUCGUCAGCUCGUGUCGUGAGAUGUUGGGUUAAGUCCCGUAACGAGCGCAACCCUUGUCCUUAGUUACCAGCACGUAAUGGUGGGCACUCUAAGGAGACUGCCGGUGACAAACCGGAGGAAGGUGGGGAUGACGUCAAGUCAUCAUGGCCCUUACGGCCUGGGCUACACACGUGCUACAAUGGUCGGUACAGAGGGUUGCCAAGCCGCGAGGUGGAGCUAAUCCCACAAAACCGAUCGUAGUCCGGAUCGCAGUCUGCAACUCGACUGCGUGAAGUCGGAAUCGCUAGUAAUCGCGAAUCAGAAUGUCGCGGUGAAUACGUUCCCGGGCCU